UACGUAGGGCGCAAGCGUUGUCCGGAAUUAUUGGGCGUAAAGAGCUCGUAGGCGGCUUGUCGCGUCGGCUGUGAAAACCUGGGGCUCAACCCCGGGCCUGCAUUCGAUACGGGCUAGCUAGAGUGUGGUAGGGGAGAUCGGAAUUCCUGGUGUAGCGGUGAAAUGCGCAGAUAUCAGGAGGAACACCGGUGGCGAAGGCGGAUCUCUGGGCCAUUACUGACGCUGAGGAGCGAAAGCGUGGGGAGCGAACAGG
rnacentral:rRNA from 1 species